rnacentral:rRNA from 1 species
CGGGUGACGAGCGGCGGACGGGUGAGUAAUGUCUGGGAAACUGCCUGAUGGAGGGGGAUAACUACUGGAAACGGUAGCUAAUACCGCAUAACGUCGCAAGACCAAAGUGGGGGACCUUCGGGCCUCAUGCCAUCAGAUGUGCCCAGAUGGGAUUAGCUAGUAGGUGGGGUAAUGGCUCACCUAGGCGACGAUCCCUAGCUGGUCUGAGAGGAUGACCAGCCACACUGGAACUGAGACACGGUCCAGACUCCUACGGGAGGCAGCAGUGGGGAAUAUUGCACAAUGGGCGCAAGCCUGAUGCAGCCAUGCCGCGUGUGUGAAGAAGGCCUUCGGGUUGUAAAGCACUUUCAGCGGGGAGGAAGGCGUUAAGGUUAAUAACCUUGGCGAUUGACGUUACCCGCAGAAGAAGCACCGGCUAACUCCGUGCCAGCAGCCGCGGUAAUACGGAGGGUGCAAGCGUUAAUCGGAAUUACUGGGCGUAAAGCGCACGCAGGCGGUCUGUCAAGUCGGAUGUGAAAUCCCCGGGCUCAACCUGGGAACUGCAUUCGAAACUGGCAGGCUAGAGUCUUGUAGAGGGGGGUAGAAUUCCAGGUGUAGCGGUGAAAUGCGUAGAGAUCUGGAGGAAUACCGGUGGCGAAGGCGGCCCCCUGGACAAAGACUGACGCUCAGGUGCGAAAGCGUGGGGAGCAAACGGGAUUAGAUACCCUGGUAGUCCACGCCGUAAACGAUGUCGAUUUGGAGGU